GUUCUGCUGUUGCUUGGAGACUGAAUGAUUUAACCCACAUGUGUCACACUCAUUCCACGUAGGGCCGACUUUUAAAUCCUCCUUUGGACUUGAUUGCUGAAUUGAGGUCACUGAUUACAUCACCAGAAGCAAGCAUUUAGAAAGCUCUGCAUGACUGCAUAGUAGAUAGGUCUUUCAGACAGCACCAUGUGACACUUGAAUUAGAAAAUUGGGAGUCCCACGAUGUGACCGGUUCGGUUAUGAGCUGGCUGAAGUCAUUCAGGGAACACAUCCAUAAUCCUGACCUUACUGUUGUUAUUUUAAGAUUUUGUUGUACUAUCAUUUAUUUGACUAUCCCUAGGACAACUAUUAGAGCUGCUAACACUGGGAGAAUAUCUAGAGGUGGGUGUACUGCGUUACUACUACCAGUUAGGUUGAUGUUUGGGGUGAUUGGGGUUGAUGACAAAUAAUCUUGUCAGCGGCGUCGUCAUGUGUGGCGGAUGGGAGGCAGUUUGUGCUGAGAGGCCCCGUUAGUAAUUAAUCACUGUGUUCCAGUAAUACAUUCCUUCGAUCGGAGCGUCAGGGAAUAAUUUCUCUGGACAGUGGCCCAUGAAAGGUCAUCCACACCGCCCGCCACUGGCCGGUCAUUGGUCAUUCCGGGAUGGCACCAGGCACAAAGCUCAUCCAGUCAAUGCAACUUAAUGAUUUAUGCACAUAUGAAAUGAGUCCCGGAAACAUCACGGCCAAGUUGGGAUUGAAUUAUUGUGUUGCUGGAGUUUCUAGUCACUGCUACAGUAUGAGUGAAAUGCUGUCUACUGGAGCAGUACAGGUUCUCUGGAAUAUGGUACAACUUCUGCCAGGGCUUCAGGCAGUGGACAGUGUGACUGGAAUUAUAGAGUGCAAGAGAUUUGGUGAAAUAUAAAUCAUUAUAAUAAUAGUAAAAAAUAUAUAUCUUAUUGAUCAUCUGAUUUACCAUCUCAAUAAAAUGAUGUGAUCAUGGCGAUCCACCAUCCA